AUUGAACGCUGGCGGCAGGCCUAACACAUGCAAGUCGAACGGUAACAGGAAGCAGCUUGCUGCUUUGCUGACGAGUGGCGGACGGGUGAGUAAUGUCUGGGAAACUGCCUGAUGGAGGGGGAUAACUACUGGAAACGGUAGCUAAUACCGCAUAACGUCGCAAGACCAAAGAGGGGGACCUUCGGGCCUCUUGCCAUCGGAUGUGCCCAGAUGGGAUUAGCUAGUAGGUGGGGUAACGGCUCACCUAGGCGACGAUCCCUAGCUGGUCUGAGAGGAUGACCAGCCACACUGGAACUGAGACACGGUCCAGACUCCUACGGGAGGCAGCAGUGGGGAAUAUUGCACAAUGGGCGCAAGCCUGAUGCAGCCAUGCCGCGUGGAUGAAGAAGGCCUUCGGGUUGUAAAGUACUUUCAGCGGGGAGGAAGGGAGUAAAGUUAAUACCUUUGCUCAUUGACGUUACCCGCAGAAGAAGCACCGGCUAACUCCGUG
rnacentral:rRNA from 1 species